rnacentral:lncRNA from 1 species
UUUUAUGAAAGCACGCAUAAUAUAAAUAUUUUUAAAAUUUUUUAUAAAAUAUUUUAAUACAUAUUUAUUUGUAAAUCCUAAUUUGAAAUAUAUAAUAUGUACUAAAAAAAAUUCAAAGAAUAAAAAAACUUACCAUCUUAAGUCACUCAGAUCCAAAAAUCAUAGCCUUUGACUCAUGGCCUAAUCUUUAGAUCCAUGCUCCUCUCGAUCUAAAUCAAAAUAUUAGAUCAAAUCUAAUUUAUUAAUAAAAAAAAUUAGACUAAUUAGACUUCGUCUAAUCAAUCAAUAGGGAUAAAAAAGAAAGAGAAAUUCUAUUUGGAUUUAAUCAAGGCCUGAUCUAUAGUUCGAUAUGUGUCGACUUGAC